CAGUAGCCGCGGGAAUACGAAGGGUGCAAGCGUUAAUCGGAAUUACCGGGCGUAAAGCGUGCGCAGGCGGUUUGUUAAGACAGAUGUGAAAUCCCCGGGCUCAACCUGGGAACUGCAUUUGUGACUGGCAAGCUAGAGUGUGGCAGAGGGGGGUGGAAUUCCGCGUGUAGCAGUGAAAUGCGUAGAUAUGCGGAGGAACACCGAUGGCGAAGGCAGCCCCCUGGGCCAACACUGACGCUCAUGCACGAAAGCGUGGGGAGCAAACAGGAUUAGAUACCCGUGUAGUCCCUGUCUCUUAUAA
rnacentral:rRNA from 1 species